rnacentral:rRNA from 1 species
GUUUGACCUCGGAUCAGGUAGGGAUACCCGCUGAACUUAAGCAUAUCAAUAAGCGGAGGAAAAGAAACCAACAGGGAUUGCCUCAGUAACGGCGAGUGAAGCGGCAACAGCUCAAAUUUGAAAUCUGACCCCCUUGGGGCCCGAGUUGUAACUUGUAGAGGGUGUUUCGGGCGCGGCGCCGGUCUAAGUUCCUUGGAACAGGACGUCACAGAGGGUGAGAAUCCCGUACGUGACCGGCGAUCAAGCCCAUGUGAAGCCCCUUCGACGAGUCGAGUUGUUUGGGAAUGCAGCUCAAAAUGGGUGGUAAAUUUCAUCUAAAGCUAAAUACCGGCCAGAGACCGAUAGCGGACAAGUAGAGUGAUCGAAAGAUGAAAAGCACUUUGGAAAGAGAGUUAAACAGUACGUGAAAUUGUUGAAAGGGAAGCGCUUGCGACCAGACCGGUCCGGGGGCGAUCAGCCGCUGCUCGUCAGCGGUGCACUCGCCCCCGAUCCGGCCAGCAUCGGUUUGGGCGGUGGGAAAAAAGUCCCGGGAAUGUGGCUCCCCUCGGGGAGUGUUAUAGCCCGGGUCGCAAUGCUGCCUGCCUGGACCGAGGACCGCGCUUCGGCUAGGAUGCUGGCGUAAUGGUUGCAAGCGACCCGUCUUGAAACACGGACCAAGGAGUCUAACAUCUAUGCGAGUGUUUGGGUGUCAAACCCAGGCGCGGAAUGAAAGUGAACGGAGGUGGGAACCCGUCAGACGGCGCACCAUCGACCGAUCCAGAUGUCUUCGGAUGGAUUUGAGUAUGAGCAUAGCUGUUGGGACCCGAAAGAUGGUGAACUAUGCCCGGAUAGGGUGAAGCCAGAGGAAACUCUGGUGGAGGCUCGCAGCGGUUCUGACGUGCAAAUCGAUCGUCAAAUCUAGGCAUAGGGGCGAAAGACCAAUCGAACC